CCUACGGGUGGCAGCAGUAGGGAAUCUUUCACAAUGGGCGAAAGCCUGAUGGAGCAACGCCGCGUGCAGGAUGAAGGCCUUCGGGGUGGAAACUGCUUUUAUAAGCGAGAAAUAUGAUGGUAACUUAUGAAUAAGGAUCGGCUAACAACGGGUCAGCAGCCGCGGUCAUACGUAGGAUCCGAGCGUGAUCCGGAGUAACUGGGGGUAAAGAGUUGCGUAGGUGGGAUAAUAAGUAGCUAGUGAAAUCUGGUGGCACAACCAGUCAGACUAUUAGCUAAACUGUCAAGCUCGAGACCGUUGGGGGUAAGUGGAAUUUGUAGUGUAGGAGUGAAAUCCGUAGAUAUUAGAAGGAACACCGAUAGCGUAGGCAGGUUACUGGGACGGUUCUGACACUGAGGCACGAAAGUGUAGGGAGCAAACGGGAUUAGAUACCCCAGUAGUC
rnacentral:rRNA from 1 species